UGGGUGUUGAAGGCUGUGCAGGUUCCGCUU
rnacentral:piRNA from 1 species